UACGUAGGUGACCAGCGUUGUCCGGAUUUACUGGGCGUAAAGAGCGCGCAGGCGGUCGUUCAAGUCGAGUGUGAAAGCCCCCGGCUCAACUGGGGAGGGUCACUCGAUACUGAUCGACUUGAAGGCAGGAGAGGGAAGCGGAAUUCCCGGUGUAGUGGUGAAAUGCGCAGAUAUCAGGAGGAACACCAAUGGCGAAGGCAGCUCGCUGGGACGUGACUGACGCUGAGACGCGAAAGCGUGGGGAGCAAACAGG
rnacentral:rRNA from 1 species